rnacentral:rRNA from 1 species
UACAGAGGGUGCAAGCGUUGUUCGGAAUUACUGGGCGUAAAGCGCGUGUAGGCUGCGAUGUAAGUCAGGUGUGAAAGCCCUCAGCUUAACUGAGGAAGUGCACUUGGUACUGUGUCGCUUGAGUGUCGGAGGGGGUGGCGGAAUUCCCGGUGUAGAGGUGAAAUUCGUAGAUAUCGGGAGGAACACCUGUGGCGAAGGCGGCCACCUGGACGACAACUGACGCUGAGACGCGAAAGCGUGGGUAGCAAACAGG